rnacentral:rRNA from 1 species
GACGAACGCUGGCGGCGUGCCUAACACAUGCAAGUCGAACGAAGUAUAGUAAUAUACUUAGUGGCGGACGGGUGAGUAACGCGUGAACAAUCUGACCUGUACAAAGGAAUAGCCUCGGGAAACCGGGAUUAAAACCAUAUGACACUUUAGUACCGCAUGGUAUAGAAGUCAAAUUGAUUUAGAGGUAUGGGAUGAGUUUGCGUCUGAUUAGCUAGUUGGUAAGGUAAUGGCUUACCAAGGCGACGAUCAGUAGACGGCCUGAGAGGGUGAACGGCCAAACUGGAACUGAGACACGGUCCAGACUCCUACGGGAGGCAGCAGUGGGGAAUAUUGCACAAUGGAGGAAACUCUGAUGCAGCGACGCCGCGUGAGUGAAGAAGGUCUCCGGAUCGUAAAACUCUGUCCUUGGUGAAGAAAAAGACGGUAGCCAAGGAGGAAGCCCCGGCUAACUACGUGCCAGCCGCCGCCGUAACAC